rnacentral:rRNA from 1 species
UACGGGGGGGGCAAGCGUUGUUCGGAAUUACUGGGCGUAAAGGGCUCGUAGGCGGCCAACUAAGUCAGACGCGAAAUCCCUCGGCUUAACCGGGGAACUGCGUCUGAUACUGGAUGGCUUGAGUUCGGGAGAGGGAUGCGGAAUUCCAGGUGUAGCGGUGAAAUGCGUAGAUAUCUGGAGGAACACCGGUGGCGAAGGCGGCAUCCUGGACCGACACUGACGCUGAGGAGCGAAAGCCAGGGGAGCAAACGGGG